rnacentral:lncRNA from 1 species
CAAAACCUAUCCAAAUCUUAUCCAAACAACUUUCUCCCAAAUCCUAUCCAUGAACUUAUGGAAUGGAGUGGUUGGGAACAAGCUUACAAAAGCUUUUAAAAUUUUUUAUUUUUUAAAAAAUUUUAAAAGAUAAUCCAAAAGCUACUUCAAUAGUUUUUUUCAGAGUUUUAACUUUUAGUUUUCAUGUCUUUAUGAAAUUUUAUAGCUUUCAAAAGCUAACAUUACUUUUGUCAAACACUUCUACAUAAAACUUAAAAGAAGCUACCAUUUUAUGCCACCAUGGCUUCCAAUUUUUGCAACCAUUUUAUGUACUGAUUUUGCUCCUUUUUGUGUAAGUGGAGAAGGAGGAAGUUGGUGAGGCUUUUCCCUAUUCCUCUUGAUAUUAGGUACUGCUUCAGCUCUUGUUGCAAACCAAGGUCUAAGUUCCUAAAAUAAAUAAUGAAUUUAUCAAAAUUAACCAAAUUUAAAUUAUUUCUUAAACCUAGAACUUAACAAGUAUGUUGCGAUUAUGAGUAAAGAAUAAAGUACAUUUUCUAUAUUGAUAAGGAAAGUAAAAACAUACCUGAACAGGGGGCCUCUGUAGACUGAGGAACUGAAAUCAGUAGGCAACUUCAAAUAAUAUGCAUUUUGAAUAUGAAAGUCAAUUCUAUCUUGACCUUGGUCCAAAACUUUACAAUCAAACUGCAGUAUUGAGGUCAAUCCUGUCUUUUUGAUGCACACCUUCANUACUUGUCAAUCAUUUAAUUCUUCAUUUCAAAUUUAUUAGACCUCCUAAUUAAUGUGAUGUUACUUGUCAAUCUAUUUAUUUUUCAUUUUAAAUUUUAUAUUAUUGUUUACAUUAAUUCACAAAUAAAAGUUAUUCGAUAUAAAUUAAAAAUUAAUUUCACAUAUUUAUUUGAAUCAACGAAUAUAAUUUUACAUAACUAAUAAAAAUAUCUCUUAAUUAAUAAUUUAUUUAAAAUAAUUGAUUAACAAUUUUGAAUUUUUACAAUAAAAUUUUAAUUAAUUUUGUAACCGUGGUUCCCACGGGUUAUAAACUAGUCUAUAACAAAUGAAUGUUUUUUUUGCCACUUGUCAUCCUCUCAUUUCAAUUUGUCAAAUAUCAUUUUUUGGUAAUUUUGAAUUAUUUUUUUUCCAUAUGUCAUUUUAUAAGUUUUUUCUAUUUUAUUAAAUUUCAUAUAAUAUUUUAAUGUAAUAAUUACAAUAAAUAUAGUAUUAAAUGGAUAUUAAUUUCAUUAAUAAACAUAUCUUUUAAUUUCAAAAUUUCCAAAAUUAAAGUUUAUUAGUUUCUUUUCUUUAUUUAAAUUAUUUGUUUAAAUUUUAAAGAUAAAAAAUAUUUCUAUUAUAAUGAUUCAUUAUUUUUUUUAUUUUUUUAUAAAUUCAAUGUUUUCAAAUAUUUUGACAUUUAUAUUAAAAAAAAUUUUAAAUUAAUCCAUGUAUAAUUAGUUUAAGUCAUAAACCAAACUUCAUGUUCUUAUACCACUAACAUGUUAAUAUUAUUUAGCAUCAUAUAUUUUCAAAAGGUGUCAUCUAUUAACAUUCAUUUUAGACCAUUUGUAUUAUUGAAAAAAAAAAUUGAAAAUAUGAUUUAUUAGCAUGUUACCUCCAAUAACCAGUUAGAUAGUCCUAAUAAAUGUUUUAGCCAUCAACGCUAUUAUGACCAAUUCGUUUAAAUAUUAUGUAUUUUAAAAUUUUAAUAUUUUGGAAUUAGUUCUAAGGAUUACCCGACGGCUAACGGCUACAAAAAAAAAUAGGAACCAGAACCAGAUACAGUAAUUGUCGGUUCUCAUUUUUAGGAACCGGAACCUAAACCAAUGACCUAGGUCCGGUUCUAGAACCAACGGUUUCAAUUCCAAAAACAAAUACCCGCUAUUUGUGGUCACCCCUAAAUUAGUAAGUCCCUACUAUGAUACUAUUUGAAUCUAUUUCAUUUUUUGUAUUUUUCUUUUUCAAAAUUUUAUUCUAAUUUAGUAAAAACAAACAUUUUCUUAAAAUUUCAUCAUUUGUUUUUCGGAACACUAAAAUUAAAAUUCACCAUUUAUCACUUCCAAUAAGGAUUUUAUCGCCGACUUAAUACUAGUAAAAUUGAGUUUAAUAGUCAUUUUCAAUGUCAACCGAAAUGUCACCUCUGAUUUUAUCACUUCCUUUAAGGUUCACUUCCUAUGGUCACAAACUUGUACUGUUUGACAUGUACAAAUCAAUAUUAUAUUACUCCCAAAACCUAUCCAAAUCUUAUCCAAACAACUUUCUCCCAAAUCCUAUCCAUGAACUUAUGGAAUGGAGUGGUUGGGAACAAGCUUACAAAAGCUUUUAAAAUUUUUUAUUUUUUAAAAAAUUUUAAAAGAUAAUCCAAAAGCUACUUCAAUAGUUUUUUUCAGAGUUUUAACUUUUAGUUUUCAUGUCUUUAUGAAAUUUUAUAGCUUUCAAAAGCUAACAUUACUUUUGUCAAACACUUCUACAUAAAACUUAAAAGAAGCUACCAUUUUAUGCCACCAUGGCUUCCAAUUUUUGCAACCAUUUUAUGUACUGAUUUUGCUCCUUUUUGUGUAAGUGGAGAAGGAGGAAGUUGGUGAGGCUUUUCCCUAUUCCUCUUGAUAUUAGGUACUGCUUCAGCUCUUGUUGCAAACCAAGGUCUAAG